UUGCACCAGGCCAGACAGCAGACUAGCAGGUGAUGGGAGAUGCCACAAGGUCACACGUCCUCAAGGGGACACCCUCCACUCCACAGGUGGCUGUGCUGAAGGAACUCCCCAAGAGCUGGCAUUCUCCGAGGGGCCCUGGUCACUCAGCACCGCAGGUGGGCAGCUCUGUAGGCACUCACCCCAACUCACCCUGCAGGGACCUGCAGCCUCUUCCCAGCCGAGCCAGGAGAGUCACUCCCAGCACAGACCAGCAAGCUCUUGGGUGUUUUAACACUCAAAAUCCACAUCCUCUUUAAAUAAAGUUGAUUAUUUCCAGCCAACAUUGUGAAAAAAUAAGCCCCCUGUCAUGUACAGGUGCUCUGGGCCCCCGCCCUCACUGUGUCAUUCCUGACCAGCCUGCAGCCACAUCUCAGCGGCUGCUGGCCAGCACCCAGGGUGAAAAGGGGGGCAGGAGGGCGGGGGAGUGGGAAGGGAGAGAGGAGGAGCGUGAGUCAGCAGCCAGGGUGCAGACUGGGGAGCAGGCCUCACUGCAGCGCCCACGUCUGAGGAGCAGGAUCAGCCCAGGUAACAGGUUGUAACCAUGUUAGAAGAAAAGCCAGGCCCUGUGUCUCCCAGGGACAGGCUCUGCUGAGCAGGCGCCCACAGUCAGUAUCACCGGCACAGGUGGGAGAUGAGCUCAGGUCCCCACACUGCGGCGGCGUGGGAACCAGAGGGCCGGGUUCAGAACAGCCAGUGGCAAACCAGCUCCGUUUUUCUUACGGACUUCCUUCCCUUCUCUCUGAUUCCACCAUAUCCCACACCUGGAUGGGAGCCACAGCUGUUUGGAAAUACAGUGAUACUUCUUCUGGAUUUCUGCAUUUCCCAAGCUACAUAAAGCAUCAAUAAUUUUAUCUACACUGGUAUCACCAGUGUAGCCUCUGCCACCGACUGGUCUCCCCAUUCAGCAGCAGGCCUGCCUCACCAACAGGACCAGAGGCUCCAGAGAGGUAGCCAGGCCCCAGCUGGCCUGAGCUUUACUACCCCUCCAGUGUGAAGAUCCACUCAAAGCGAGGAAGGUCCCAUGGAAGGGACACAUGAGUCCCCAAAGGACUCCGGCUGGCCAAAGAUGGGACAAUCUGAGCAUCAAAAAGAAUAAUGUCCACAAUGGCCUGAUGUUUAAAUGUUUAAAGGUCUAUCAGCUCAUAAAACAAAACCCCAGUGGUCACCUUUGGUGACCAGAGUACAGCACAGUCUGAAAAGUAAUAAAUAAAAUGCUUCUAUAGGAAGUGGAAUUUCA